rnacentral:lncRNA from 1 species
UCUAUAAUAUCAUGAUCCUUUCACUAAUUAGGAAAAUUGUUAUUUUUGGGUGUUCAAUCCGGAUAUCGGUUCGGUUUAGGUUCGUUUUUUUUUUGUUUUUGGUAUUUCGGUUAGUAAAAUAUAACUACCAUUCUAAAUCCAUAUUUACUUCGGUUCGGUUCGGUUUAUAUACCGUCGGUUUUUGGUUUAUUCAGUUUUAUACCAAUAAACAUAAUUAUUUAGUUUGAGAUCAUAUUAUAUGAAUUUUAGAGUCAUAUUGUCAACACAGUCAUUUAUUAAAAAUAUAUUACAUGUUCAAACAAAUGAACAAAAAAAGUAAAAAUG